AGUGAAUUCACUCCUCUCUCUCUCUGCGAUUCAGGUCUCCAAAGGCUCAAGCUUUCAACUUUGUCCACUACAUUUGGUCUGCCAGGUGCCGAUUUCUGAUAAUUGUGGUCUACUCAUGGACGAUCAAACUAUUGCGACGAUUUUGGUAAAGUUUUGACCGUCUCCGUCGAGAAUUACGAGCCGCCGUUGAUUCACAGAGCCGAAAUUUCAUACCAAGAACAAACUCUUCCUGUUUUUCAGAAAAUUGAAGACCUGUCCACUAAAGUACAUGAAUUGAGAAAAGAGCAUGCAGCUUUUAAGCGAUGAGGUGAAGGGUAUACCGGGGAUUCUUUUCCUUGUCCUGAAGUUUUCUGUGCUCUUAGGGAUCUUAGUGUGCAACAUGAACUUCUUAGUGUGCCCUUUUGAAGAAAAGAUAUCUUGAUGAAUGAUGAGUGCUCAGAGAGGAAUGAAGUGAUUGAGUUGAAAGGCAACAUUCGGGUUUUCUGUAGAUGUAGACCAUUAAACUCUGAGGAAGUUGCGAAUGGUUCAACAUUUGUGGUUGAUUUUGAUAUGUCUCGGGGAAAUGAGAUACAAAUUGUUUCCUCUGAUUCUUGUUGAAAGCAAUUUAGGUUUGAUCAUGUUUUUAAACCAGAGGAUGGUCAAGAGGCUGUUUUUGUUGAAGCCAUUCCUAUUGUAACCUCUGUUUUGGAUGGUUUUUAAUGUCUACAUUUUUGCCAAUCGGCAAACUGGAACUGGCAAGACAUUUCACAAUGGAAGGAACACCAGAAAUUGACAUAGGGGAGUCAACUAUCAAACUUUGGAGAAAUUGUUCAGCUUGCAUUAUGAAGUAUGAUUUGUUUGUCAGCAUGUUAGAGGUUUACAAUGAAAAGAUAAGGGACAUUGUUGUUGACAACUUCAGCGAACCAGUUAAGAAGUGUCAAUGGCGGUUUGGUAUGCUGUUGAAAAAGAGUUUCUAACAAUUUUCUAUGCAUGUUUCCAUACUAAGCUUACAUCUAAUUCUUUAUUAUGUUCAUUAAAUCUUGAGACUUUUAUUCUAUGUCUGACUAUCUGUUUGAUUUUUUACAUUUGUAUGGUGUUAUUACAUAUUUUUUAGCUAAACAUAUAUAUAUAUG